rnacentral:rRNA from 1 species
GACGAACGCUGGCGGCGUGCCUAAUACAUGCAAGUCGAACGAACUCUGGUAUUGAUUGGUGCUUGCAUCAUGAUUUGCAUUUGAGUGAGUGGCGAACUGGUGAGUAACACGUGGGAAACCUGCCCAGAAGCGGGGGAUAACACCUGGAAACAGAUGCUAAUACCGCAUAACAACUUGGACCGCAUGGUCCGAGUUUGAAAGAUGGCUUCGGCUAUCACUUUUGGAUGGUCCCGCGGCGUAUUAGCUAGAUGGUGGGGUAACGGCUCACCAUGGCAAUGAUACGUAGCCGACCUGAGAGGGUAAUCGGCCACAUUGGGACUGAGACACGGCCCAAACUCCUACGGGAGGCAGCAGUAGGGAAUCUUCCACAAUGGACGAAAGUCUGAUGGAGCAACGCCGCGUGAGUGAAGAAGGGUUUCGGCUCGUAAAACUCUGUUGUUAAAGAAGAACAUAUCUGAGAGUAACUGUUCAGGUAUUGACGGUAUUUAACCAGAAAGCCACGGCUAACUACGUGCCAGCAGCCGCGGUAAUACGUAGGUGGCAAGCGUUGUCCGGAUUUAUUGGGCGUAAAGCGAGCGCAGGCGGUUUUUUAAGUCUGAUGUGAAAGCCUUCGGCUCAACCGAAGAAGUGCAUCGGAAACUGGGAAACUUGAGUGCAGAAGAGGACAGUGGAACUCCAUGUGUAGCGGUGAAAUGCGUAGAUAUAUGGAAGAACACCAGUGGCGAAGGCGGCUGUCUGGUCUGUAACUGACGCUGAGGCUCGAAAGUAUGGGUAGCAAACAGGAUUAGAUACCCUGGUAGUCCAUACCGUAAACGAUGAAUGCUAAGUGUUGGAGGGUUUCCGCCCUUCAGUGCUGCAGCUAACGCAUUAAGCAUUCCGCCUGGGGAGUACGGCCGCAAGGCUGAAACUCAAAGGAAUUGACGGGGGCCCGCACAAGCGGUGGGGCAUGUGGUUUAAUUCGAAGCUACGCGAAGAACCUUACCAGGUCUUGACAUAUUAUGCAAAUCUAAGAGAUUAGACGUUCCCUUCGGGGACAUGGAUACAGGUGGUGCAUGGUUGUCGUCAGCUCGUGUCGUGAGAUGUUGGGUUAAGUCCCGCAACGAGCGCAACCCUUAUUAUCAGUUGCCAGCAUUAAGUUGGGCACUCUGGUGAGACUGCCGGUGACAAACCGGAGGAAGGUGGGGAUGACGUCAAAUCAUCAUGCCCCUUAUGACCUGGGCUACACACGUGCUACAAUGGAUGGUACAACGAGAUGCGAACUCGCGAGAGUAAGCUAAUCUCUUAAAGCCAUUCUCAGUUCGGAUUGUAGGCUGCAACUCGCCUACAUGAAGUCGGAAUCGCUAGUAAUCGCGGAUCAGCAUGCCGCGGUGAAUACGUUCCCGGGCCUUGUACACACCGCCCGUCACACCAUGAGAGUUUGUAACACCCAAAGUCGGUGGGGUAACCUUUUAGGAACCAGCCGCCUAAGGUGGGACAGAUGAUUAGGGUG